UAAUUACUUUUGUAAGGAAGCUGU
rnacentral:piRNA from 1 species